rnacentral:lncRNA from 1 species
UUCGUACACCCUGAAACUGAGGAGUGUUAUUUAAUGUUUCUGGGUGGCCGCCAGUUUGGGCAAGAGCCAGGUGACAUUUAAAGCCUCUGAUGGCUUGAAUGACCUGAGAUCCUGUUUUUUUUUUUUUUUUUUUUUUUUUUCCCUGUGAAAGUAUGGGUGUUAGUCCAAGAUCUUCCUUCAGCCUUUGCCAAGAAUCAAUGAAACUGGUUUUUGACCUGCCAUGGCUGACUGGAGUUAGGUUUUCACCCAUCGUGGGCAUUUGUAUGCUAUUUUCUUUAGAGAGGGGGAGAAGCAUUACAUUUUUUUUUUUAAAUGUCCUGACACCUUUGCUUGCUUCAGUAUCAGCGCUGCAGCUCGCGAGGCACACAAUGCCUUGCGCGCGCGCAUGAUAAGAACUGAAACUAUUCAUUGACAUUAUGGCAGGGCUAUUUUGAAAACAUUAUCUCAUUUCAUUUCCUAGAACAUCAUCAAGUCUCUGCAGCAUCAGUUUCUUUAAAGAGAAGGGCUAUUUUUGUUCCAACGGAAGCCAAAAUAUUUGAGCAAAUUUUGCCCCCAGUUCCGCUAGCUUCCUUCCCCUACGUUGUGGCUCACACUGGCGCUUUUUAGCAAGCUCUCUUGAGGCAGAAUCAGCGUAGUGCAAGGAUUUGAAGUCAUCGGCCAUCCCGACUCUUUAUGCAGUAGGAGACUUGGGAGUGCUCUCCUGUAGGAUCCAAGACUUCUCAUCUUUCCGAUGCGAACUGAAUUAUGCUAGCAUGUCAACCAGGACAUUUCAGAGAAGCAUCGAAACGUGUUAGUAAACCUCUUACCAGAACACCCUCACUAUCGAUUUUUUUUUGUCACUAAAACACAAACCAGCAUGGGACAUUAAACAGGACCUUUGGUAUUUGGUGUUGGGAAAAUGCCCCCUUGGAUCUAGAGCUCUUUAGGAGUAAUGGCUUCCCGAAAAGAACUAUAGAGAAAAAGAAGGCAGAAUAACCCAGGUGCCUGAGCAUCUUUGAGGAGGCCCCGAUGUGACUACCUGAAACCAGUCUAUGUCAGCACUUCUUGCUACCUGAGAUAUACAUUAUUCAUGGUUUAAGCCAUUCUGAGUCAGGACUUUUUUUUUAUUGAAACUCGGAGCUGGAAAUAGCCAAGUUUACCCACCAAGAAUAACAUCUGGAUUAUGAACCCUGGAAAUAUAACCACUGUCAUUUUGUGUCCCUGGACUAUAUUAAGCUCUACCACAUGGUUUCCAACUUGAGAGUCACUUGUGAGUCAGCACGUUCUAUUUCAUCUUCCUCUAGAUCAUUUGCUGUUUGGUGGCUGGGCUAAAUUAAAAUUUAUAAACUCUAUCAUGUUAAAGUAAAUUAUAUUAUUAGUAUACAUAGUAAAUGUAUAUUAAAUUGUAUUUCUAUUAUAAUAUAAAUUUUAUUAUGUAUUAAGAAUAUUAUUAUCUGUUUUAG